ensembl:snoRNA SNORD18 Small nucleolar RNA SNORD18
UGGUUAUGAUGAGAUUCCACUUCAUGGUCCGUGUUUCUGAAAUAAUAAUGAUUUUUUGGAAGUUCUGAUGCC